rnacentral:rRNA from 1 species
GACGAACGCUGGCGGCGUGCUUAACACAUGCAAGUCGAACGGAGAUUCAGCAAUGGAUCUUAGUGGCGAACGGGUGAGUAACGCGUAGGCAAUCUGCCUUCUAGAUGGGGACAACAUCCCGAAAGGGGUGCUAAUACCGAAUGUUGUACCGUUUCCGCAUGGAGAUGAUACUAAAGGUGGCCUCUGAAUAUGCUACCGCUAGAAGAUGAGCCUGCGUCUGAUUAGCUAGUUGGAGGGGUAACGGCCCACCAAGGCUUCGAUCAGUAGCCGGUCUGAGAGGAUGAAAGGCCACACUGGGACUGAGACACGGCCCAGACUCCUACGGGAGGUAGCAGUGGGGAAUCUUCCGCAAUGGACGAAAGUCUGACGGAGCAACGCCGCGUGAGUGAAGAAGGUUUUCGGAUCGUAAAGCUCUUUCGUUAGGGACGAACGUGCUCUUUGUGAAUAAUGAGGAGUAAUGACGGUACCUAAAUAAGAAGCCACGGCUAACUACGUGCCAGCCGCCGCCGUAAGAC